ensembl:snRNA U6 U6 spliceosomal RNA
GUGCUUGCUUGGGCAGCACAUAUACUAAAAUUGGAACAAUACAGAGAAGAUUACACGGCCCCUGCACAAGGAUGAAUCUCAGCUAUGGGGGAAGCACUAUCACAUA